UACGUAGGGGCAAGCGUUAUCCGGAUUUACUGGGUGUAAAGGGAGCGCAGACGGCAGUGCAAGUCUGAUGUGAAAGCCCGGGGCUCAACCCCGGAACUGCAUUGGAAACUGUACAGCUUGAGUGUCGGAGAGGUAAGCGGAAUUCCUAGUGUAGCGGUGAAAUGCGUAGAUAUUAGGAGGAACACCGGUGGCGAAGGCGGCUUACUGGACGAUUACUGACGUUGAGGCUCGAAAGCGUGGGGAGCAAACAGGAUUAGAUACCCUGGUAGUCCCU
rnacentral:rRNA from 1 species